GACUAGCCGAAUGCCCCUGCGUUACCACGGAAUAAUAGAGAACAUGUUGACACGUGGUUUCCAUUCAUACAACGAUGACUAAUACCUAUUAUCUCUACCACUUCUUCCCUCCAAUAGUUAUUGUGCCUCCUGAUGCACUCUCGAAGACAAAACAACAUCUAUGUCCCCACCACUCCUUCCCUCCAACAGUUAUUGUGCCUCCUUAUGCACUCUCAAAGACAAAACAACAUCUAUCUCCCCACCACUCCUUCCCCUCUACAUCAAUAGUCUUCAUCCAUCUUUGCUCUAGCAUUGUUGUCACUUAAGAAAAUCAGUCAUCUCGCCUUACCUUUGCUUCAGAACCUUUUUGUCAUAUGCAAAUCUAUGGCAAUGUCCUCGCAUACUGUGAGAGAUGAUGUUAUUAAUUUUUCA
rnacentral:rRNA from 1 species